rnacentral:rRNA from 1 species
AGUGAACGCUGGCGGUAGGCCUAACACAUGUAAGUCGAACGGCAGCACAGAGGAGCUUGCUCCUUGGGUGGCGAGUGGCGGACGGGUGAGGAAUACAUCGGAAUCUACUCUGUCGUGGGGGAUAACGUAGGGAAACUUACGCUAAUACCGCAUACGACCUACGGGUGAAAGCAGGGGAUCUUCGGACCUUGCGCGAAUGAAUGAGCCGAUGUCGGAUUAGCUCGUUGGCGGGGUAAAGGCCCACCAAGGCGACGAUCCGUAGCUGGUCUGAGAGGAUGAUCAGCCACACUGGAACUGAGACACGGUCCAGACUCCUACGGGAGGCAGCAGUGGGGAAUAUUGGACAAUGGGCGCAAGCCUGAUCCAGCCAUACCGCGUGGGUGAAGAAGGCCUUCGGGUUGUAAAGCCCUUUUGUUGGGAAAGAAAUCCAUCUGGUUAAUACCCGGGUGGGAUGACGGUACCCAAAGAAUAAGCACCGGCUAACUACGUGCCAGCCGCCGCCGUAA